AUAUUCCUACUGGGCUGACGGAUGCGUAGAAUUGACUACAUGCACAGUAGCACACACAUCGUGUGAUAGCCGACCGUCUGGGCAAGCUUU
rnacentral:ncRNA from 2 species